AUUGAACGCUGGCGGCAGGCCUAACACAUGCAAGUCGAACGAGUGGCAGACGGGUGAGUAAUGUCUGGGAAACUGCCUGAUGGAGGGGGAUCACUACUGGAAACGGUCUCUAAUACCGCAUACCAUCAGAUGUGCCCAGAUGGGUUUGGCUAGUUGGUGGGGUAACGGCUCCCCAAGGCGACGAUCCCUAGCUGGUCGGAGAGGAUGACCAGCCACACUGGAACUGAGACACGGUCCAGACUCCUACGGGAGGCAGCAGUGGGGAAUAUUGCACAAUGGGCGCAAGCCUGAUGCAGCCAUGCCGCGUGUAUGAAGAAGGCCUUCGGGUUGUAAAGUACUUUCAGCGGGGAGGCGUUACCCGCAGAAGAAGCACCGGCUAACUCCGUGCCAGCCGCCGCGGUAAUUC
rnacentral:rRNA from 1 species